CUAAUCCCUGGAACCAGCCAAUGUUAUCUCACGGCAAAGAGGGGCUUUACAGAUGUUGAUUAAGGAUCCUGAGAUGGGGAGAUUACAUUGGAUUAACUGGGUGGGUGCAGUGUAAUCACAAUUGUCCUUAUAAGAAGGCAGUAGAUCAGAGUCAGUAGCAGGAGGUGUGAUGAUGGAAAUGAGAAGUUGGAGUGAUGUGAAGGGGCCACAAGCCAAGAAUGCCAAUGGCCUCUAGUAGGUGAAAGAAACAAGGAAGGGAUUCUCCCUUGGAACCUCCAGAAAGAUCCAGCUCAUGUGGGCUUCAGUAGUUGUGGCACAUGGGCUCAGUAGUUGUGGCUCGUGGGCUCUAGAGUGCAGGCUCAGUAGUGUGGCACAGGCUUAGUUGCUCUGCGGCUUGUGGGAUCUUCCCGGAGCAGGGCUCGAUCCCAUGUCCCCUGCACUGGCAGGCAGAUCCUUAACAACUGUGCCACCAGACCCUGUAAUUUGAUUUUGGCCCCAUGAGAUUUGCUUCAGACUUCUGAACACCAGAAUCGUAAGGGAAAUAAUCUGUAUUGUUUAAACCAGUAAGUUUGUGGUUUUGUUUUGUUUUUUUACAGCAGCAACAGGAAACUAAUACAGAACUUCUCAGCUUUAGGCUGAAUCUGCGACCAUAUUUACUCUCUUCCCAGAGGCAGAGCAUGAAGGAGGGCGUGACAUCAGAGAGGCAUGGCUGACGGUACACUCAGGUGGAUCACCUCCACGGAUUUCAGACGCGGCAGGAAUCAGUUUGGACCCCAAGCAUGAAACAAAAACAGAGACCAAAGAGCCCAGCAUGCGCAUUUCUGAGCUCUAGAAAGUUUCCAGCGUCACUGAGUCAAUGCCAGCGGGGUUUGCGAGAGCCGGGAAAGCUUCUGCCACACUCAAGACAGCCAGCAGUGCUUCCUGAGGAAGGUCUACGAAGGAGUAUAAGCUUGGAGAGGGACCUCAUCUAUUGUGCAGGAAUGCAAGGAAGUGUAAACGCUGAGUGGGGAGCAUGAACACAAAGAAGAACACUCCAGCAACCCUGACACCCGCCUAAGCAUGAGAAUACAACAACCCAUCACUGGAGGAAUUUGAAGCCUGUGGCACAUAGAAAGUAAUGGUAGCAACAAGAAAAAGUAACCUGUCACAAUUCCUGACUAGACGGACUCAAAAAAAGAAGCAUGUCCAUUUCCAGGUUUCAGUACUAUUUAUCUCAUUCUCUACUAACACUAAAAUGUCAAGCAUUUGAUAAAGAGUUACAAAAACAAAAAGGGAAAACAACCCACUGUCAAGAAAUAAAAUAAUCAUUUACUGAUUAACAAUGGCUUAGAUAUAGAAAACAUUAACCAGGGACAUUAAAAUAAUUAUAGUUAAUAGGUUAAAUGAGUGAGUGGAAAAGUUAGACAACAUGCAUGAAUAGAUGAAGAAUUUGAAAGGAGAAAUAAAAUCUAAGUCAAAUGGAGAUGCUAGAAAUAAAAUUACACAAUAUCAGAGGUAAAGAAUUACUGUGAUGUGCUCAAGUACUUCACUGGUGGUCCAGUGGUUAAGAAUCUGCCUUCCAAUGCAGGGUAUGUGGGUUCAAUCCCUGGUUGGGGAACUAAGAUCCCACAUGCCGUGGGGCAAUUAAGCCCACAUGCCACAACUAGAGAGCCCACAUGCCACAAGUACAGAACCCACGUGACACAACUAGAGAAGCCUGCAUGCCACAACGAAGAGCCCGCAUGCUGCAACUAAGACGUGAUGCAGCCAAAAAUGUAAAUUAAAUAAAUAAUUGUUUUUUUAAUUACUGUGAUGGGCUCAUAAAUAGACUCAAUACAGCUAAGGAAAUAAUCAGUAAACUUGAAGAUUGAGAAAGAGAAAUUAUUCAGAUUGAUGCAUGAAGAGACAUCAUUUUCAUCAUCACCAUCUUAAGAAGGAGGAGGAGGAGGAGAAGGAGAAGUAGUAGUAGUUAAGUUUUAUUUGUGUUAGUUUUAUUUGGGACAAAAUGAGGACUAUAGCCCAGGAGACAGCAUUUCAGAUAACUCUGAGAAACUGCUCCAAAGAAGUAGGGAAGAGGUCAGCAUAUAUGUGAUUUUGGUGAAGGGGGAGUAUAUGCAAUCAAGUGCAUAUUUUUUUGCAUAAGGUCGCCGCUAGUCAUGAGGAGCAGAUGUCACCACGAAGGAUUUUACUGCUUUUCUAGAUAUGAGGAGACACAGGAAUUGGGCUCAUAAAAUCUUCUCACAAAAAUAUCUAUCUAAAGACCUGUUCUGCCAGUUUUUCCCAGAGCACAGAGUGCCUCAUUCCUGCUUGCCACCCUGAAAUCCUUUCAGGAGUUAUUGAAGGUCAGCAGCUGCAGCAACUCAUAAUUUAAUCUGUGUAGAGGUAGAUGUCAGGUUCCAAUUUGUAGUUGGCACCCAAAAAGAGAAGAAAGAGAAAAUGAGACAGAAUAUGUACCUAAAGACAUAAUAGCCAGCACUUCCUUGGUGACGCAGUGGUUAAGAAUCUGCCUGCCAAUGCAGGGGACAUGGGUUCGAGCCCUGGUCCAGGAAGAUCUCACAUGCUGCAGAGCAACUAAGCCCAUGCACCACAACUACUGAGCCCGCACUCUAGAGCCCACAAGCCACAACUACUGAGCCCAUGUGCCACAAAUACUGAUGCCCACAUGCCUAGAGCCCAUGCUCCGCAACAAAGAGAAACCACCAUAAUGAGAAGCACGUGCACCACAGCAGAGUAGGCCCCACUCUCUGCAACUAGAGAAAGCCUGUGCGUAACAAUGAAGACCCAAUGCAGCCAAAAAUAAAUAAUUAAUUAAUUUUUUAAAAGACAUAAUAGCAAAGAUUUUCCCAAAAUAAUAAAAAAAAAUCAAAACACAGAUCCAAGAAGCUGAAAGAAUCUCAAACAGAAUGAAUACCGAAAACACCACUAUGUUCAUCAUCUUAAACUAACUGCUUAAAACAAAAGAUAAAGAGAAAAUCUUGACAUCAAGAGAAAAAGAAAGAAACUUUUCAAGUAUUUUAAUUCUUACUUAUUUUAAGGUAAGCUGUGAUAAAUUAAAGAUUUAUACCAAAAGAUCAAGAACAACCACUACAAAUAUUCCAGAAAAGGGGCAUAACUAAUAAGCCAAUAAUGGAAAUAAAACCUUACCAUAAAAAAUACAUAAUCCAAAGUAAGGCACAAAAAUGCCUGUAUGCUUCUAUGGGAAAAUAGCAAAAAACAAACAGUAUGAUAAAUUUUAAUCCAAUCAUAUUAAUAAUUGCAUUAAAUAUAAAUAGAAUAACACCCUUCAAUUAAAAGCAGAGAUAGUCAAAUUAUGUUACAAACCAACACCAAAUAUGUGCUGUACUCAAAAAACACACAAAGAUAUAAAUAGAUUAAAAGUAAAGGGAUGGGAGAAGACAUAUACGCAAUCAUUAAUCCAAAGAAAGCUGCAGUGGCUGUAUUAUUGUCAGAUAAGAUAGAUUUCAGGAUAAUGAAUACUACCAUGGAAAAAUAGGUUAAUUAUUCAACAAGUCAAUCCACCAACAAGACUUUAAAAUCCUAAAUGUUUUCUGCACUAACAACAGAAUUUCAAAAUGUACAAAGCAAAACCCAAUAAAAUUGAAAAGAGAAAUAGAUUCAUAAUAAUAAUUACAGAUUCACAAACACAUGGAGGCUAAACAAUAUGCUACUAAAUAACCAAGAUCACUGAAGAAAUCAAAGAGGAAAUAAAAAAAUACCUAGAGACAAACGACAGUGAAAACAUGACAAUCCAAAACUUAUGGGAUGCAGCAAAAUCAUUUCUAAGAGAGAAGUUUAUAACAAUACAAUCCUACCUCAAGAAACAAGAAACAUCUCAAAUAAACAAUCAAAACUUACACCUGAAGGAACUAGAGAAAGAAGAACAAACAAAACCCAAAGUUAGCAGAAGGGAAGAAAUCAUAAAGAUCAGAGCAGAAACAAAUGAAAUAGAAACAAAGAAAACAAUAGCAAAGAUCAAUAAAACUAAAAGCUGGUUCUUUGAGAAGAUAAAAUUGAUAAUCCAUUAGCCAGACUCAUCAAGAAAAAGAGGGAGAGGACUCAAAUCAAUAAAAUUAGAAAUGAAAAAGGAGAAGUUACAAUGGAUACCACAGAAAUACAAAACAUCAUAAGAGACUCUAUGCCAAUAAAUGGACAACCUGGAAGAAAUGGACAAAUUUUAGAAAGGUAUAACCUUCCAAGACUGAACCAGGAAGAAAUGGAAAAUAUGAACAGACUAAUCACAACUAAUGAAAUAAAAACUGUAAUUAAAAAUCUUCUAACAAACAAAAGUCCAGGACUAGAUGGCUUCACAGGUGAACUCUAUCAAACAUUAGAGAAGAGUUAACACCCAUCCAUCUCAAACUCUUCCAAAAAAUUUAGGAGGAAGGAACACUCCCAAACUCAUUCUACAAGGCCACCAUCAACCUGAUACCAAAACCAGACAAAGGUAUCACAAAAAAAGAAAAUUACAGAACAAUAUCACUGAUGAAUAUAGAUGCAAAAGUCCUCAACAAAAUAUUAGCAAACAGAAUCCAACAACACAUUAAAAGGAUCAUACACCAUGAUUGAGUGAGAUUUAUUCCAGGGAUGCAAGGAUUCUUCAAUAUACACAAAUCAAUGUGAUACACCAUAUUAACAAAUUGAAGAAGAAAAACCAUAUGAUCAUCUCAAUAGAUGCAGAAAAAAGCUUUUGACAAAAUUCAACACCCAUUUAUGGUAAAAACUCUCCAGAAAGUGGGCACAGAGGGAACCUACCUCAACAUAAUAAAGGCCAUAUAUGACAAACCCACAACAAACAUCAUGAUCAAUAGUGAAAAACUAAAGCAUUUCCUCUAAGAUCAUGAGCAAGACAAGGACGUCCAUUCUCGCCACUAUUAUUCAACAUAGUUUUGGAAGUCAUAGCAAUGGCAACCAGAGAAGAAAACGAAAUAAAAGGAAUACAAACUGGAAAAGAAGAAGUAAAACUGUCACUUAGCAGAUGACAUAAUACUAUACAUAGAGAAUCCUAAAGAUGCCACCAGAAAACUAAUCAGAGCUAAUUAAUGAAUUUGGUAAAUUUGCAGGAUACAAAAUUAAUGCACAGAUAUCUCUUACAUUCCUAUACACUAACAAUGAAAGAUCAGAAAGAGAAAUUAAGGAAAUCUCAUUCACCAUUGCAACAAGAAAAACAAAAUACCUAGGAAUAAAUCUACCUAAGGAGGUAAAAGACCUGUAUUCAGAAAACUAUAAGACGCUGAUGAAAGAAAUUAAAGAUGACACAGAUUGAAAGAUAUACCAUGUUCUUGGGUUGGAAUAAUCAAUACUGUAGAAAUGACUAUACUAUCCAAAGCAAUCUACAGAUUCAAUGCAAUCCCUAUCAAAUUACCAAUGGCAUUUUUUACAGAACUAGAACAAAAACACUUAAAAUUUGUAUGGAGACAAAAAAGACCCUGAAUAGCCAAAGCAAUCUUGAGGGAAAAAAAUGUAGCUGGAAAAAUCAGACUCCCUGACUUUGGACUAUACUACAAAGCUACAGUAAUCAAGACAAUAUGGUACUGGCACAAAAACAGAAGUAAAAAUCAAUGGAAUAGGAUAGAAAGCCCAGAGAUAAACCCACACACCUAUGGUCAACUAAUCUCUGACAAAGGAGGCAAGGAUAUACGAUGGAGAAAAGACAGCCUCUUCAAUAAGUGGUGCUGGGAAAACUGGACAGCCACUUGUAAAAGAAUGACAUUAAAACACUUCCUAACACCAUACACAGAAAUAAACUCAAAAUGGGUUAGAGACUUAAAUGUAAGACCAAACACUAUAAAACUCUUAGAGGAAAACAUAGGAAGAACACUCUUUGACAUAAAUCACUGCAAGAUCUUUUUUGACCCACCUCCUAAAGUAAUAGAAAUAAAAACAAAACAAACAAAUGGGACCUAAUGAAACUUCAAGGCUUUUGCACAACAAAGGAAACUAUAAAGACGAAAGUCAGCCCUCAGAGUGGAAGAAAAUAUUUGCAAACAAAUCAACGGACAAAGGAUUAAUCUCCAAAAUAUACAAGCAGCUCAUGGAGCUCAAUAUCAAAAAAACAAACAACCUAAUCCAAAAAUGGGCAGAAGACCUAAAUAGACAUUUCUCCAAAGAAGAUAUACAGAUUGCCAACAAACACAUGAAAGGAUGCUCAACAUCACCAAUCAUUAGAGAAAUUCAAGUCAAAACUACAAUGAGGUAUCACCUCACACAGGUCAGAAUGGCCAUCCUCAAAAAAUCUAUAAGAAAUAAAUUCUGGAGAGUGUGUGGAGAAAAGGGAACCCUCUUGCUCUGUUGGUGGGAAUGUAAAUUGAUACAGCCACUAUGGAGAACAGUAUGGAGGUUCCUUAAAAAAUAAAAAUAGAAUUACCAUAUGACCCAGCAGUCUCACUACUGGGCAUAUACCCAGAGAAAAUCAUAAUUCAAAAAGACACAUGCACCCCUAAUUUUCAUUGCAGCACUAUUUACAAUUGCCAGGUCAUGGAAGCAACCUAAAUGCUCAUCGACAGUCAAAUGGAUAAAGAAGAACUGGUACAUAUAUACAACGGAAUAUUAGCCAUAAAAAGGAAUGAAAUUGGGUCAUUUGUAGAGACGUGGAUGCAUCUAGAGACUGUCAUACAGAGUGAAGUAAGUCAGAAAGAGAAAAACAAAUACACUAUAUUAACGUAUAUAUAUGGAACCUAGAAAGAUAGUACAGAUGAACCAGUUUGCAGGGCAGAAAUAGAGACACACGUGUAGAGAACAAAUGUAUGGACACCAA